rnacentral:sRNA from 1 species
UAAUAAACAGUGAAAUUUACUGGCCAAAUGGACUGACUUUGGAUUAUGAAGAACAAAAGCUUUAUUGGGCAGAUGCAAAACUUAAUUUCAUCCACAAAUCAAAUCUGGAUGGAACAAAUCGGCAGGCAGUGGUUAAAGGUUCCCUUCCACAUCCUUUUGCCUUGACGUUAUUUGAGGACAUAUUAUACUGGACUGACUGGAGCACACACUCCAUUUUGGCUUGCAACAAGUAUACUGGUGAGGGUCUGCGUGAAAUCCAUUCUAACAUCUUCUCUCCCAUGGAUAUACAUGCCUUCAGCCAACAGAGGCAGCCAAAUGGUAAGUGAUCCUUGAUUUUUAAAUUGCAAGUGGGAACAGCUUUGUAGCACUCUAAUGUCUGGCUUUAGUGAGGAUCAGGAGGAGGGAGGGCAUAUCCAAAGAUAGUUGGCGGGAAUA